UACGUAGGGUGCGAGCGUUGUCCGGAAUUAUUGGGCGUAAAGGGCUCGUAGGCGGUUUGUCGCGUCAGGAGUGAAAACUCGGGGCUUAACCCCGAGCCUGCUUCUGAUACGGGCAGACUAGAGGUAUGCAGGGGAGAACGGAAUUCCUGGUGUAGCGGUGAAAUGCGCAGAUAUCAGGAGAAACACCAAUUGCGAAGGCAGCUCGCUGGGACGUUACUGAGCUGAUGCGCGAAAGCGUGGGGAGCAAACAGG
rnacentral:rRNA from 1 species